UUUCAGUGAACCAUCAGAUUUCCGAACGCAUAUGGCGCUGUAGGGACUUCCCUGCAGCACGUCUGUUUCAGUGUCUUU
rnacentral:rRNA from 1 species